rnacentral:rRNA from 1 species
AUUGAACGCUGGCGGCAUGCCUUACACAUGCAAGUCGAACGGUAACAGGUUUUCGGAUGCUGACGAGUGGCGAACGGGUGAGUAAUACAUCGGAACGUGCCUAGUAGUGGGGGAUAACUACUCGAAAGAGUAGCUAAUACCGCAUGAGAUCUACGGAUGAAAGCAGGGGAUCGCAAGACCUUGUGCUACUAGAGCGGCUG